rnacentral:rRNA from 1 species
GACGAACGCUGGCGGCGUGCUUAACACAUGCAAGUCGAACGGAAAGGCCCUGCUUGCAGGGUACUCGAGUGGCGAACGGGUGAGUAACACGUGGGUGAUCUGCCCUGCACCUCGGGAUAAGCCUGGGAAACUGGGUCUAAUACCGGAUAGGAGCCAUUUUUAGUGUGAUGGUUGGAAAGUUUUUUUCGGUGUAGGAUGAGCUCGCGGCCUAUCAGCUUGUUGGUGGGGUAAUGGCCUACCAAGGCGGCGACGGGUAGCCGGCCUGAGAGGGUGGACGGCCACAUUGGGACUGAGAUACGGCCCAGACUCCUACGGGAGGCAGCAGUGGGGAAUAUUGCACGAUGGGCGCAAGCCUGAUGCAGCGACGCCGCGUGGGGGAUGGCGGCCUUCGGGUUGUAAACUCCUUUCGCUAGGGACGAAGCUUUUUGUGACGGUACCUAGAUAAGAAGCACCGGCUAACUACGUG